UACAGAGGCCUCGAGCGUUAAUCGGAAUCACUGGGCUUAAAGGGUGCGUAGGCGGCGCUGCAAGUGCCUUGUGAAAUCCCAUCGCUUAACGAUGGAACUGCUCGGUAGACUGCAGUGCUUGAGAUUGGUAGGGGCUGCCGGAACUCUAGGUGGAGCGGUGAAAUGCGUAGAUAUCGUGAGGAAGACCAGUGGCGAAGGCGGGUCUCUGGACAGUUCCUGACGCUGAGGCGCGAAGGCCAGGGGAGCAAACGGG
rnacentral:rRNA from 1 species